rnacentral:rRNA from 1 species
UCCUAGCCGUAAACGAUGGGCACUAGGUAGGGGGAGCUCCUAUGGUUCUCCUUGCCGUAGCAAAUGUGUUAAGUGCCCCGCCUGGGGAGUACGCUCGCAAGGGUAAAACUCAAAGGAAUUGACGGGGGCUCACACAAGCGGUGGGAGCAUGUGGUUUAAUUUCGAAGCAACGCGAAGAACCUUACCUGGCCUUGACAUCUACGGAUUAGCCCCUUGAAAGAGGGGUUACAGCU